CCCUUUCCAUUCCGAACAGGGAAGUUAAGCCCGCUAGCGCCGAUGGUACUGCCAACAGGUGGGAGAGUAGGAAGCCGCCUUAC
rnacentral:rRNA from 1 species